rnacentral:rRNA from 1 species
GAUGAACGCUGGCGGCGUGCCUAAUACAUGCAAGUCGAGCGAACAGACGAGGAGCUUGCUCCUCUGACGUUAGCGGCGGACGGGUGAGUAACACGUGGAUAACCUACCUAUAAGACUGGGAUAACUUCGGGAAACCGGAGCUAAUACCGGAUAACAUCUUGAACCGCAUGGUUCAACAGUGAAAGACGGUCUUGCUGUCACUUAUAGAUGGAUCCGCGCCGCAUUAGCGAGUUGGUAAGGUAACGGCUUACCAAGGCAACGAUGCGUAGCCGACCUGAGAGGGUGAGCGGCCACACUGGAAGUGAGACACGGUACAGACGCCUACGGGAGGCGGCAGUAGGGAAUCUUCCGCAAUGGGCGAGAGCCUGACGGAGCAACGCCGCGUGAGUGAUGAAGGUCUUCGGAUCGUAAAACUCUGUUAUUAGGGAAGAACAAAUGUGUAAGUAACUAUGCACGUCUUGACGGUACCUAAUCAGAAAGCCACGGCUAACUACGUG